CCCACUGGUUGAUCUCUAGUGUUAGCUGUACUUGAAAUUAAGAUAUUUGUUGGAUUUUAUGGUGACAGCAUAGGAGCUGAGCUCUUUAGAAUUGCAGAGCAAGUUACAACAGUCACCAAGAUUGCUAAGUAUUCUGCCAACAGUAGAAUACAAGAAUUGUUCGGGCGCUUAUAAGUCUUGCACCUGUUUAAAGAAGUUACCCUGUCAGCUGUACCAGGGUAGUAAUCACCCUGGGCAAGCACCUGCAGGCUGUGCUGCUCUGGAAGGGAGGAAGAAUUUUUAGCUGCAG